GAUGAACGCUGGCGGCGUGCCUAAUACAUGCAAGUCGAGCGAACAGACGAGGAGCUUGCUCCUCUGACGUUAGCGGCGGACGGGUGAGUAACACGUGGAUAACCUACCUAUAAGACUGGGAUAACUUCGGGAAACCGGAGCUAAUACCGGAUAAUAUAUUGAACCGCAUGGUUCAAUAGUGAAAGACGGUUUUGCUGUCACUUAUAGAUGGAUCCGCGCCGCAUUAGCUAGUUGGUAAGGUAACGGCUUACCAAGGCGACGAUGCGUAGCCGACCUGAGAGGGGGAUAGGCCACACUGGAACUGAGACACGGUCCAGACUCCUACGGGAGGCAGGAGUAGGGAAUCUUCCGCAAUGGGCGAAAGCCUGACGGAGCAACGCCGCGUGAGUGAUGAAGGUCUUCGGAUCGUAAAACUCUGUUAUUAGGGAAGAACAAAUGUGUAAGUAACGAUGCACGUCUUGACGGUACCUAAUCAGAAAGCCACGGCUAACUACGU
rnacentral:rRNA from 1 species